rnacentral:rRNA from 1 species
GCGGCCGUAACUAUAACGGUCCUAAGGUAGCGAAAUUCCUUGUCGGGUAAGUUCCGACCUGCACGAAUGGCGUAAUGAUGGCCAGGCUGUCUCCACCCGAGACUCAGUGAAAUUGAACUCGCUGUGAAGAUGCAGUGUACCCGCGGCAAGACGGAAAGACCCCGUGAACCUUUACUAUAGCUUGACACUGAACAUUGAGCCUUGAUGUGUAGGAUAGGUGGGAGGCUUUGAAGUGUGGACGCCAGUCUGCAUGGAGCCGACCUUGAAAUACCACCCUUUAAUGUUUGAUGUUCUAACGUUGGCCCCUGAUCGGGGUUGCGGACAGUGUCUGGUGGGUAGUUUGACUGGGGCGGUCUCCUCCUAAAGAGUAACGGAGGAGCACGAAGGUUGGCUAAUCCUGGUCGGACAUCAGGAGGUUAGUGCAAUGGCAUAAGCCAGCUUGACUGCGAGCGUGACGGCGCGAGCAGGUGCGAAAGCAGGUCAUAGUGAUCCGGUGGUUCUGAAUGGAAGGGCCAUCGCUCAACGGAUAAAAGGUACUCCGGGGAUAACAGGCUGAUACCGCCCAAGAGUUCAUAUCGACGGCGGUGUUUGGCACCUCGAUGUCGGCUCAUCACAUCCUGGGGCUGAAGUAGGUCCCAAGGGUAUGGCUGUUCGCCAUUUAAAGUGGUACGCGAGCUGGGUUUAGAACGUCGUGAGACAGUUCGGUCCCUAUCUGCCGUGGGCGCUGGAGAACUGAGGGGGGCUGCUCCUAGUACGAGAGGACCGGAGUGGACGCAUCACUGGUGUUCGGGUUGUCAUGCCAAUGGCACUGCCCGGUAGCUAAAUGCGGAAGAGAUAAGUGCUGAAAGCAUCUAAGCACGAAACUUGC